rnacentral:rRNA from 1 species
ACCCGGAGGCAGCAGUGGGGAAUAUUGCACAAUGGGCGAAAGCCUGAUGCAGCGACGCCGCGUGAGGGAUGACGGCCUUCGGGUUGUAAACCUCUUUCAGCAGGGAAGAAGCGCAAGUGACGGUACCUGCAGAAGAAGCACCGGCUAACUACGUGCCAGCAGCCGCGGUAAUACGUAGGGUGCGAGCGUUGUCCGGAAUUAUUGGGCGUAAAGAGCUCGUAGGCGGCCUGUCGCGUCGGAUGUGAAAGCCCGGGGCUUAACCCCGGGUCUGCAUUCGAUACGGGCAGGCUAGAGUGUGGUAGGGGAGAUCGGAAUUCCUGGUGUAGCGGUGAAAUGCGCAGAUAUCAGGAGGAACACCGGUGGCGAAGGCGGAUCUCUGGGCCAUUACUGACGCUGAGGAGCGAAAGCGUGGGGAGCGAACAGGAUUAGAUACCCUGGUAGUCCACGCCGUAAACGUUGGGAACUAGGUGUUGGCGACAUUCCACGUCGUCGAUGCCGCAGCUUCUCCUUAAGUUCCCCGCCGGGGAGACGGCGCAAGGAU